rnacentral:rRNA from 1 species
AGCGAACGCUGGCGGCGUGCUUAACACAUGCAAGUCGAGCGAAGGUGUUUCAAGGGUAACCUUGAGAUACACUUAGCGGCGGACGGGUGAGUAAUACGUGGAUAACUUACCUCUAGGCCUGGGAUAACCCCGGGAACUGGGGCUAAUACCUGAUAAGACCACAUUGUCUACGGACAAAGGGGUAAAAGGUGGCUGUGCAAACAGCUAUCGCCAAAAGAUAGGUUCACGUCCCAUCAGGCAGUUGGUGAGGUAAUGGCUCACCAAACCAAAGACGGGUAGCCGGCCUUGGCGGGUGAACGGCCACACGGGGACUGAGACACGGCCCCGACUCCUACGGGAGGCAGCAGUGGGGAAUAUUGGGCAAUGGGCGCAAGCCUGACCCAGCGACGUCGCGUU